GUGCUCGCUUUGGCAGCACAUACACUAAAAUUGGAACAAUACAGACAAGAUUACCAUGGCCCCUGUGCAAGGGUGACAUGCAAAUUCGUGAAGCGUUCCAUAUUAAA
rnacentral:snRNA from 1 species